rnacentral:rRNA from 1 species
AGUGAACGCUGGCGGUAUGCCUAACACAUGCAAGUCGAACGGCAGCACAGUAAGAGCUUGCUCUAACGGGUGGCGAGUGGCGGACGGGUGAGGAAUACAUCGUAAUCUACUUUUUCGUGGGGGAUAACGUAGGGAAACCUACGCUAAUACCGCAUACCACCUACGGGUGAAAGCAGGGAAGCUUCGGGCCUUGGGCGAUGGAAUGAGCCGAUGUGGGUUUAGCUAGGUGGCUGGGUUAAGGCCCACCAAGCGGGCGAUCGGUCGCUGGUGGGGGAGGGGGAUCGGCGGCCUUGGAGGUGAGACACGGUCCAGACGCCUAAGGGAGGCAGCAGAGGGGAAUAUUGGGCAAUGGGGGCAAGCCUGAUCCAGCGAUACCGCGUGGGUGAAGAAGGCCUUGGGUUUGUAAAGCCCUUUUGUUGGGAAAGAAAAGCAGCAGGUUAAUACCAAGCUGUACUGACGGUACCCAAAGAAUAAGCACCGGCUAACUUCGUG